ACGACGAGAGUUUGAUCGUGGCUCAGAUUGAACGCUGGCGGCAGGCCUAACACAUGCAAGUCGAGCGGUAGCACAGGGGAAGCUUGCUCCCCGGGUGACGAGCGGCGGACGGGUGAGUAAUGUCUGGGAAACUGCCUGAUGGAGGGGGAUAACUACUGGAAACGGUAGCUAAUACCGCAUAACGUCGCAAGACCAAAGAGGGGGACCUUCGGGCCUCUUGCCAUCAGAUGUGCCCAGAUGGGAUUAGCUAGUAGGUGGGGUAAUGGCUCACCUAGGCGACGAUCCCUAGCUGGUCUGAGAGGAUGACCAGCCACACUGGAACUGAGACACGGUCCAGACUCCUACGGGAGGCAGCAGUGGGGAAUAUUG
rnacentral:ncRNA from 1 species